GAGUGGCCUAUGCGUUGCUUCAGCGAAAAAAAGAGUGGAUGGAGCUGCUGUCACCUACCACUGGCUUCUUCCCUGGAGGAUGGAUCUUUGCAAUGGAUCCACGCGAGCAGCGGGCGGAGUUGUGCUGGGGCUGGCAGAAGAAGGCGGGGAUCUGGAAGGGCAUCUCCUCGAGGCUAUCUCUGUUCCUCUUCGCUUCGUCGGCGAGUGAGCCGCCGGGCUGAGAAACAAUUGAUGCUACGGGUUCCACCUGCGGCAAUCCGGGAGCCGCGGCAGCGGAGUGCAUAGGGCGAGCAGAGUGAAGCGUAGAUGCCUCCAUUCUGCCGGGCGGGUCAGCACCUGUCGACUUCACUGCGAGCAGUGAUUAAUCGUCCUUCGCGCCGUCUGCCGCAAGGAUUGAUGGUCUGGCGACAAUGACUGAAUGGACAGCGCAAGUGCUCAUGUAGGCAGUGACAAAAAGAUAUAUCGAAAAUUCAAGAAAAUGGUAAAGGGAUGGAUAAUGGAUGCAGGUGUGAACAAAGUACCAGGUGAUCAACGGACAUGAAUCCUAUCUCAUAGAGUUUAUGCUGCUUGUUCAUGUUCUCCCACAUCCAUGUGAUGUGCACAACAGCACACCUCGGAGAUCCUAAAGGUGAACAGUAAAGUGCAGACAAUCAGGAUAAGGGAAAACAACAGAGAUAUGUCAUGUGCAAACAGCGAGCAACGCAAUGAUGAACGGAAGAUCCACCCUGACCGAGAACACAAACUGAAGAAUCAGGCGAAUAAUGGUGAACAGAACCACCAGCCGGCAGAGGAACCAGAGGCAGCAGGCAGAAAAGGAACAACCAGAGCUGCGAAGCAAUGACCACGGCUAGUAGCCGCAGCGGGAACAACACUGUGGAGACGACGAUCCCGGUAUGGAGGCGGAGAAACCGAAGACGAAUGUGGUCGUACACGCCGACGAACAGGUCCCCAGCGUACACGUCCAACAGUCUGCAUAACAGCUGGAGAAUCAGAAGCAAGGAAGAUGGAAACCCCAAACUGCAAAUGAUCGAAGCCACCGGAGACAUCGGCAGCAACGGAAUCAACAACUGGAGCACCAAGCAGCACGUCCACGGGAACGCGAUGAGCAAGGUCCUGACGACCUAGAAGACAGGUCACCGAGGCGAUGACAACAACGGAGCGCCGAAGAUGGAGGCAAGGGCACGGACGUGCGAAGCCGGCGACAUAAUGGACAGCACGGGGCGAGUGGGACGGACGACGGAUCCAGCAGCAACAUGGAUGGCAGCUGAGCAGGAAAGAAGGUAGGUCGUCCAGCCCACGGUGCCGCGGCAGAAGCAACCCGAGAGACGGCGGUGCAGAAGCCGGCAGAGGCGGCGGCGCAGAAGUCGGCCGAUCACGCCUAC